rnacentral:rRNA from 1 species
GACGAACGCUGGCGGCGUGCUUAACACAUGCAAGUCGAACGGAAAGGCCCGGCGUUUGUGGGGUGCUCGAGUGGCGAACGGGUGAGUAACACGUGAGUAACCUGCCCUUGACUGUGGGAUAAAUUCAGGAAACUGGGGCUAAUACCGGAUAGGAGCUCCUGCUGCAUGGGGGGGGUUGGAAAGUUUCGGCGGUGGGGGAUGGACUCGCGGGUUAUCAGCUGGUUGGGUGGGUAGGGGCUUACAAAGGGUUUGACGGGUAGCCCGCCUGGGAGGGUGGACGGGCUCCAUAGUCCUGCGGGAGGCACCAGACUCCUACGGGAGGCAGCGGUGGGGAAUCUUGCAGAGUGGGCGGGAGCCUGUUGCGACGGCCCCGCGUGCGGAAUGACCGGUUUCGGGUUGUAAACCGCUUUCGCCUGUGCCGAAGCGUGAGUGACGGUAAUGGGUAAAGAAGCACCGGCUAACUACGUG